rnacentral:rRNA from 1 species
CGCCUUUAGCCCCACAAGUAUUAAAGGUCCCGCCUGCCCAGUGAGAAAAUGUCUUAAACGGCCGCGGUACCCUAACCGUGCAAAGGUAGCGUAAUCACUUGCCCUUUAAUUCAGGGCCUGUAUGAAUGGCUAACUGAGGGUGGUACUGUCCCAUGUGCCCAAUCAGUGAAACUGACCCCCCAGUACAAAUGCUGGGAUGACCCCACAAGACGAGAAGACCCUGUGGAGCUUAUAGACCCCUGCACUAAUACAUCAAGACCUCGCCAAACGGCGACCAGCCAUAGAUGAUCCUAGUGCAAGUUUUAAGUUGGGGCGACUGCGGAGUUAAAAAACCCCUCCGUACUACAGGGCCACCGGGCCCCUAAAAGGGCCACGGCCCAACAAGAAAUAGACAACUGACCCAGUAAAACUGAAUGAUGAACCAAGUUACCCCAGGGAUAACAGCGCAAUCCUCUUAUAGAGUCCAUAUCGACAAGGGGGUUUACGACCUCGAUGUUGGAUCAGGGCCCCCAAGUGGUGCAGCUGCUACUAAAGGUCCGUUUGUUCAACGGUUAAUGCCCU